CGUACAACGAGAAGUACAUCGCCUGGUGUAUAUAUAACACUCUGUUUGCUAAGAUCGUAGUUGGUCUUCUGAGAAUUGUUCUAGAUAACUUUCACAAUCCUGAUGUGGCGUAUGUCGUAAACAGUUUGUCAACGCAUGUCAUUGCCACCGUUAUGUUGGUUUUGCUCUUUGCUUUCAAGGUAUACUUCUUGAAAAAAUACAAUGUAAAUCAAAGAAGGCGUUCUCGGGGUAGUUCGUCUAUAGCCACAACGAUGACGGAUCUUCGUAAAUCACCAUUUCAUCUCAACC